rnacentral:sRNA from 1 species
CCCCUUCAAGAGCUAAGCCAUCGUGAGUGCCGGAGAUAAGCGCCGGAUGGGGU